rnacentral:rRNA from 1 species
GAUGAACGCUGGCGGCGUGCCUAAUACAUGCAAGUCGAGCGAACGGACGAGAAGCUUGCUUCUCUGAUGUUAGCGGCGGACGGGUGAGUAACACGUGGAUAACCUACCUAUAAGACUGGGAUAACUUCGGGAAACCGGAGCUAAUCCCGGAUAAUAUUUUGAACCGCAUGGUUCAAAAGUGAAAGACGGUCUUGCUGUCACUUAUAGAUGGAUCUGCGCUGCAUUAGCUAGUUGGUAAGGUAACGGCUUACCAAGGCAACGAUGCAUAGCCGACCUGAGAGGGUGAUCGGCCACACUGGAACUGAGACACGGUCCAGACUCCUACGGGAGGCAGCAGUAGGGAAUCUUCCGCAAUGGGCGAAAGCCUGACGGAGCAACGCCGCGUGAGUGAUGAAGGUCUUCGGAUCGUAAAACUCUGUUAUUAGGGAAGAACAUAUGUGUAAGUAACUGUGCACAUCUUGACGGUACCUAAUCAGAAAGCCACGGCUAACUACGUG